GACGAACGCUGGCGGCGUGCCUAAUACAUGCAAGUAGAACGCACAGUUUAUACCGUAGCUUGCUACACCAUAGACUGUGAGUUGCGAACGGGUGAGUAACGCGUAGGUAACCUGCCUGGUAGCGGGGGAUAACUAUUGGAAACGAUAGCUAAUACCGCAUAAUAUUAAUUAUUGCAUGAUAAUUAAUUGAAAGGUGCAAUUGCACCACUACCAGAUGGACCUGCGUUGUAUUAGCUAGUAGGUGAGGUAACGGCUCACCUAGGCGACGAUACAUAGCCCACCUGAGAGGGUGAUCGGCCAGCCUGAGAGGGAGACACGGCCCAGACUCCCACGGGAGGCAGCAGGAGGGAAUCUUCGGCAAUGGACGAAAGUCUGACCGCGCAACGCCGCGUGAGUGAAGAAGGUUUCCGGAUCGUAAAGCUCUGUUGUAAGAGAAGAACGGGUGUGAGAGUGGAAAGUUCACACUGUGACGGUAUCUUACCAGAAAGGGACGGCUAACUACGUG
rnacentral:rRNA from 1 species